rnacentral:tRNA from 1 species
ACCUUCGUGGUGUAGUGGUCAGCACGCUUGACGCAUAUUCGAGAGGCCCGUGGUUCGAGUCCCGGCGAGGACA